AAUUCACAGCCACAAAGAUGGUCCCUCUCAGUUACCUGCUGUGUGUGAUUAUGCUUUAUAUUCAGGGAUCCUAUGGACAGAUUGUGAUUACUCAGACUCCAGAGUCAGUUACUGUGUCACCAGGAGAAACUGUCACCAUGACAUGUACAUCUAGUACUGAUAUAUACAGCUACCUUCACUGGUACCAACAGAAACCUGGACAACCUCCCAAGCUUUUUAUCUCUGGUGCAAGCUACAGAGCAACUGGGAUCCCAGCCCGGUUCAGUGGCAGAGGGUCUGGAACCAGUUUCACUUUAACAAUCAGUGCAGUGUUAGCAGAAGAUGCAGCAGAUUAUUACUGUCAGCAGGGUUACAGCUACCCUCUCACAGUGAUACAGAGCCGUACAAAAACCUUCCUCUUUUAUCUCUACUAA